GACGAACGCUGGCGGCGUGCCUAAUACAUGCAAGUAGAACGCAGUUUCGAACGGGUGAGUAACGCGUAGGUAACUGCCUCAUAGCGGGGGAUAACUAUUGGAAACGAUAGCUCAUACCGCAUACUUUGAGCUGGACCUGCGUUGUAUUAGCUAGUUGGUUAGGUAAAGGCUCACCAAGGGGACGAUACAUAACCGACCUGCGAGGGUGAUCGGUCACACUGGGAAUGAGACACGGGUCAGAAUCCUACGGGAGGCAGCAGUAGGGAAUUGUCGGAAAUUGACGGAAGGCUGAACGAGCAACGCCGCGGGAUGGAAGAAGGUUUUCGGAGCUGAAAGCUAUGUUGUGAGAGAAGCGGUAACUAAACAGAAAGGGACGGCUAACUACGUGCCAGCAGCCGCGGUAAUUC
rnacentral:rRNA from 1 species